AGAUGGAUAGUUCAUGGUAGAACGCAUGACUCGCCAUCGUGAAGUGUUGGUUCAAAUCCGACUCCAUCUU
rnacentral:tRNA from 1 species